GUUUCGCACUAUAGGCCCGGUCAACUUUUUCAAAAAAUGGAAUUACCCCGUAUUUGAAGUGAUAUUACAUGUGUAAAAAUGUAUACAAUAAUUUUAGGAUGCAUGUCAAAUGUAGCUGAGUGCUUAGUAAAAAUGUUGAUAUACAACAUGUAGGUGUCACCAUGAUUCCUAGCAUAUAGAUGGGUGCAAAUACGAAACUAAGACACGUGGUCAGUUGCUGAAGAAAUUCCGGUGAAAACAUGCAGGGUCUAGCAAAAGGUCUGUAGCUGUGAGGGAAGGUGGAUGGUCCCAUAUGAGAGGUGUCACCAUGAUUCCUAGCAUAUAGAUGGGUGCAAAUACGAAACUAAGACACGUGGUCAGUUGCUGAAGAAAUUCCGGUGAAAACAUGCAGGGUCUAGCAAAAGGUCUGUAGCUGUGAGGGAAGGUGGAUGGCCCCAUAUGAGAGGUAAAUUUUUGAGAAGGGCAGAUAGGGUUCUUGAUUGUGCACAGUGUCUAAAUCUCCAUGUUUGGUACUGUGGUGGUGUGGGGGUGGUGCGGAUUAGCCCAAAUGAGGGAAAAUCAAAGUAAAAAAGGGGAACUUGCUCAAAGCAUGUUUUGUGCACCAGCACCAGUAUUUAUAGAUUACAUGUAAUUUAGGGUCAUAAUUUAUUAACUACACUAAUAUGAAAUACAAGUAUUGACAUAAAAGGGAAAUAUGAUUUUUCAUUAGUCUGUCAUAAUCUGACUUUGGUGUAUACCCCCUAUCCACAUGUUUCAAAACCAAAGAAACUGUCCCCUGCCACCUUGCACAUUUCCAGUCUUCGGGCAAGGUUGCCGUGUUAAUAGAUGUUUGAAAUAUUAUGGACAAUGGAAGACAUAUUGAUUGUUAAACUUCUUUAAGUACUCGUGGAUGCAAUCCAUUAGGCCCAGGUGACUUUGAAAUUUUUAAAACAUCAAUUGUUUUCUUUACUUUCUCAACAUUAAUGGUCAUUGAACUUAGUGGAGUUGCGUCAACUUUAUUUAUGGCAUAUCGCAUAACAAAUACAGGAAGGCAAAGGGAAAAAGGUUAUCAGUAUAGACACCAAUACAACAGCAGUUAACACUCGCAAUGCCAUCAACUAAUGGGCAGUGAAUAUCUUGUCCCUUCGACAGCCAAACUAUGAUAUAACGUGAUGAGCUUAUCGAAUACCUUAUGUACGACUUAACUCUAUUAAACUACUCAAUUUAAU